GAGUGUUGGAAGUAAAUGCUCGGUGCUGC
rnacentral:piRNA from 1 species